UUUCUCUUCUUGCAAGGUCUGCAGCAUGGCUGGGCAUUUCGGUGCUGGGGUUUGUUGUUUUGGUUUUUUCCUUUGGUUAACCCUUGGAUUCCUCUUUACUCCUUUAUUGCAGAGCAGCUCCGUAAAUAGGAAUGCAGUCUGGUGGCCUGGCUCCGAAAAUAUUUUAUGAUCAGUGGAAAAAAAUGAGGAAGAGAAGGGUGUGGCUGCUGCUGGGAGGCUCUGGCCCUGUAGAGGAUCACUGCCUUGUGGAGAUGUAGCUCUUCAUCAGGACAAAAUGAAGCCUUCUUUUAGGAAUUAUCCAGCUGGGAUACCGACGUCUCCUGUGUAACAUUCUUGAAGAGCUGCAAUAAAUUCACCUUGAAAUGUGUAUUGAUCCUCUGAAGCCGAAUCCUCAGGCAUUUGUGGCCCGUCCUUGCAGCCCGCCGCCCAUUGUUGCCGCGGGGCCGGUGCGGAUUGCUGGGCGAGGCCCUGCCCGGCCGCGCCGCCCGGAGCCACCCGCGGGGACUGCGGAGCCACAUCCAGCCCUGCCGGCCUGUGUGGAGCAUUAUUAAGCAUCCCUGUGCAGAACAGCUCCAAGGCAGCCACCAGCCAGUGCGUGGGGUGUGUUUGUAGGGGCACACACGAGAGAGGGGACGCGGCCGCAUUGCUCAGCUCCUGGCUCUGCAGGUCCAGCCGGAGCCCUUGGAAGCAUGUCGCUCCCUGCCGAGCUGCUGUGGUAUUCCCGAGGCCUGUGCCUGCAGAUCCAGCAUGGAGAGCCCCAUCUCCAGCAGCCAGGUGGAGCAGACACCCAGGGAAAAGGGACUUCAGUGUAUGACAGAGCUCAAAUGUCAGUGCUCCUUCCACCUCGCCUGUCAGGCUGGAUGUAGUCACCCUGCCAGAAGGAUGAAAUUUACAGCAGAAGAACUAAUUUAACACCGAAAAAGUUCUUCCUCAUCUGAACUGUCAUUCAAAAUGCAUAAUAAAAGUCACCAAGGAGAAGUUUUCUGUCCCAGUGUUUGCAGGACUCCUGGAAGAAUCUUCUGAAACUUGAGCACAUCUGUCUCAGGUUGCUCUUAAAAAGAUGAAGCAGUAAUCUGGCAAAACGAACUCAAAACACACAAGGAGUCGUCAUAGGAGACUAAUCUGCAAGGUAUUCAGACUCACUAAUAACAUGGAAACCAGAGUCUGUUAACCACUGGCUGUUCCAGAUAAGAUGUCAAAGCCAACAAGGAGUCUUGAAGUAGUGUAACUCAAAAAAAGAAGUGUUUUGGGAUCAGCAAGAAACAGUGGUGUUUUCCAUCAUGAAACUGGCAGGACCACCGCAUUGGACCGAAACCACCCAUCAUCAUCUCGUGAGAGUGAAGAAAAAAAAAGUUUAAAAGAUGAACUGCUUGGACAGAAACCGUUGCAGAAAAAUUCCAGCAAAGAAAUAAGGGACUUCCAAAGUCAAAGCUAGCAGCUGGAGGAGAGAGAAGAAAGUUUGAAGGGGGGAGAGCUGCUUUUUCUCCUUUUCGCUUUGUCCCUUUAGCAGGGAAAAGACUGAAAAAUAAAAUCCCUGCUGCUUGUGAAAGUUUGUUGGGGUGAGGAGACCCCCCAUGCAGCUCACAGAGGAGCUUGUAGCUGAUGUACCAGGAAGCCGAAACUUCAUGAAAAGGACUGAAAAUAAGGCAGAGACCUGUCAAAAAUUUGUGACUCUAAAUAUGACCCUAAAGGGAAUGAGACUCACGCUGAAGCGAGACGGCUCGGGUGAGAUACUGGAAUUUGUGUGUGGGAUCCAUAUUACUACUGAAGAUUUGUGACCAAACCUCACGCUGGAGCGAGACGGCCCAGGUGGAAUGUUGGGAUCUGUGUGAAAGAUCCAUGCUGCUACUGAAGAUUUGUGACUUUGAGAGAGAGAAAAAGCCUUACGCUGAAGCAGAAAUGGCUCGGGUAAGGAUGUUGGGAUCCAUGCGUGGGAUCCAUACUAGACUCAUGCCGGAGAAAACUGUUCUCCCAUGGAGAGAGACCUCCAUAGGGAAACAGGGGGACUCAAAAACCAUUAUCCCCUGUAACUCUGUGGAAAAAGAUUCAUAGUAAACAAGUAUCCCCUUGCAAGCCUAUAGAAGACGACCCUUCAGGACCUGAGUAACCCCCAGCCUUCGACUUUAACCCAGGAAAGGGAUAGGCCCAACCCUGGAGGCCUACACAGAGAAGGAGAAAGAAUUCCAGCUGUGAUGAGGGUGCUGCAGAGUUACUGGAGAGAGAGCUGGAACUCCGAGAAUGGAAACGGAAACUGCUUCUCCUCCUUGGACUGAUAUAAAGAGAGGAGGGAGAAGUAUUUUUCUAUAAAUACAUAGCACUUUUACUUAAGUAGAAUUAUUAUAGAUAUAGUUCUUUAAUAGUUUUUAUUUUACUAAUAAUAAAUAUUCAUACUAUUUUCCCCAAAUCCAGUUUCUUUUGUCUACAUAAACUUUCUCUCAACUAAUUAAUAAUUGUGUAGGAGAUGUGAAAGCAAAUUGACCCAGAGCAAAACCACGACACUGGAGAAGGAAUUUAAGACCCAACCAUGAAAAUACAAGAUGUCUGAGUGAAGUUCUUCAUGUCUAAACAUCUGCAGGAUCUUAGCCUACUGUAAUAAUGGAAUAUUCUGAAAACCAUGCCUAUAAAAUCUCUAUAUGGCACUAUAUCAACGCAGUAUAUGUUCUUUAUACACCCUUAAGGCGGUCAAGUUUGUAGAGUUUCUUUAUCUGUAGGAUUUCUAUCCUAUCUUGUGUCUGGAUUUUCUUCUGCCUGUAUUUUCCCAUCGGCCACAUGUUUGACUGAAGCCAAAGAUUGUUUUUGUGUACAUUUUUGUACAGUACCUUUAUUCUGUCUUAAGGAAAAAUAUACACAUGCAUUUUUCUUCUUUAUUAAUAAACUGAAUGACAAUUUAAAAUAAAUUUUCAGCUGUUUAGAAUGGUACCCAGAUGUUCUGACACAUUUCAGUUAGUUAAAUACAGAGAAAAGCAUUAUGUCACUAAGAGAGCGGAGGAAGAGGAGCUGGUCUCUGACUACUAAAGCAAAACAAAGCAGUGCUAAGAUGGUGACUUUGAGAACAAUAAACCAGACUCUUCUAAUGCUCAGGUGAACUAUGGAAGUAGCAACAGAAAAAAGAAAAAUCCUACCAAAGGGAAAUUGUGGGGCGAGUAUAAAGGUGUACUGUGGAGUGAAAGAGCAAUACUGAAACAGGUGGGAACCCCCCCCCCCCCAAAUCAGUUCAGGACAUAAAGCAAAAGAAAGGGAAAAAAAACCAGCUUAUGAAAGGCCAAACAUCAAUAUGAUUAAUAUCUUCACAGAAGGAUAGGAUUGGGAUGAAGGGUGAAUAGGCAUUGGUAUGAAGACCUAUCUGAUACCCAAGCAUGGGAAUACCAGUCUGAAGUCUUUACCUCUCCUUAUAGAUUGUGUGGGAAACUCUGAUGCCUUACUGCAUUUCAUUCCAAGGCCAGGUGUCACCUCACAGUGGGUAACCCAGACCUAGUUUUUAGGAUGCUUAAGUCUUCACAGGGCUUUGCUCUCAGACUUGGCAGUGAAGAGUAUUCAUUUGCAUUUAGAUCUAACUUAGGUGCAUGUGCAGGUUGGAGAGAGAAAAGGAGAGAAGCUCCCGAGGGGUUGGUUCAGACUAUGUACGUUAGAGCUGUGGGAGAGUCCCAUUUGUGCUGUUAGAGUUGUUGUUUGUUACAGACCUUGAGAGUUAUCUCACCUUAUUCCAUGCCAAGGGCAUUUGCAGGUCUCAGUCCCUCUCUCCCGUUCUCUUAGUAGGGACGUGAGAGUGUUGUUUCGUAUUCCCUAGGGUUCUAUUGCUAUCACGAUACAAGAGACCAGGAACUGUUAUUUCACCAUGCUGUGUGUUUUUUUGUAUGUAAUAGUGGCUUCUAUACUUGACUCUGAUUACAAAGCGUGUAUAAAGGUAUUACUGACACAAAUGCAUUAUCAGGAAUGUUAGUGUGCCUGGCUACUGAGACUAAACUGCUGAAUGCUACAUGUUUGGAGUGAUUUAUACCACAUGUAUUGAUGUCCAUGCUUGGGUGAUUAGUCUGAGCACAAUUAAUCUUUCUACUAGUAAUUUCUAUAGCAAUUUUAAAGGACUGAAACAAGGAUGAUACUCAGGAGUAAAGGCUGAAAUAUUUUUAUCUGGUAACUUUUCUUUAAACUUGCGUGGCUGCGUAAGUAGAGGAGACUUUUUUACUCAAAGCUUUCAAGGUUUGCUGCAGUUAAAUUGAGUAGUUUCAGAAAUCUUGUCAUAGUGCUUCCCUGAGGGUAAAGUCAUCCCUCUACAAAGUGCCAUUCGUGCCCCACUUACCCUCAAUUAAGGCUUUCAAAAUAACUUUGCAGUGGGACACUGGCCUUCUGCUGAAACACAUUCCUCACCUGAAGGAAAGGCUAUAUUUAGUAUCUGUAUGUCUGUUCCUUAGUUUUUUCCAUCAUAAGGAUAACAUAUAAAAAUAUUACUUUUCUUCUUUCU